rfam:Oryza glumipatula chromosome 4, whole genome shotgun sequence.
AAAAAGGCAAACCCUGGGUUUCCGUGUCAAUGUUUGACUGUCCGUCUUAUAUGAAAUUUUUUUAUAAUUAGUAUUUUCAUUGUUGUUAGAUGAUAAAACAUGAUUAAUACUUUAUAUGUGACUUAUCUUUUUAAUUUUUUUCAUAUUUUUUUCAAAUAAGACAGAUGGUCAAACGUUGGACACGGAAACUAGGGUUUGUCUUUUU